AGAGCGAACGCUGGCGGCAGGCCUAACACAUGCAAGUCGAGCGCCCCGCAAGGGGAGCGGCAGACGGGAGAGUAACACGUGGGAACGUACCCUUCAGUUCGGAACAACCCAGGGAAACUUGGGCUAAUACCGAAUACGUCCGUAAGGAGAAAGAUUUAUCGCUGAAGGAUCGGCCCGCGUCUGAUUAGCUAGUUGGUGAGGUAACGGCUCACCAAGGCAACGAUCAGUAUCC
rnacentral:rRNA from 1 species